GACGUAGGGCGCGAGCGUUGUCCGGAUUUAUUGGGCGUAAAGAGCUCGUAGGCGGUUUGUCGCGUCGUCCGUGAAAACUCACAGCUUAACUGUGAGCUUGCGGUCGAUACGGGCAGGCUAGAGUUCGGUAGGGGAGACUGGAAUUCCUGGUGUAGCGGUGAAAUGCGCAGAUAUCAGGAGGAACACCGGUGGCGAAGGCGGGUCUCUGGGCCGUUACUGACGCUGAGGAGCGAAAGCGUGGGGAGCGAACAGG
rnacentral:rRNA from 1 species